rnacentral:rRNA from 1 species
CUUCCAUCGCGACGCCAGGUCAGGCGGGACUACCCGCUGAGUUUAGCUAUCAUAACGGAGG